AACCUUCAACUUGGUAACACCAAAAUUCACGCCUUUGUCUUGUUUUUAUUUCCAAUCUGAUUCACACUAGGACAACCCUGUUACUACUUCUAUGCUACAGUUUAAUGCAAGCUUAGGGGUAGUUUUUUUCAAGAUGUGGACCACAGAAGACAUAGCUCAUCAUCACAUAGGCCACAGUACUAAAAAAAUUCAAGCAGACUGGAUGACUCUUGUCAUACAGCAGUAAAAACCUGGAGAAAUCAUAAGAAAAUACAUACAAAACAUUUAAGAUGGCUGUCAGUAAAGGAAUGGACAACCAAGCAGCUUACAUCAUAUGACCAAUUUUACAUUACUCUUUUACUUGUUUCAGUCAUUUGACUGUGGCCAUGCUGGAGCACCACCUUUAGUCAAACAAAUCGACCCCAGGACUUAUUCUUUAUAUCAUCAGAAAAAGGUAAUUAAAAUGACAGAUCUCGAUGUCAUUGAACAUUUAUGGUGCAUUUUAGAAAAACAAGUAAGGAGUCGAUAUCCUCCACCAUCAUCACUACAAGAACUGGAGACUGUUUUAGCUGAAGAAUGGACAAAAAUUCCUUUGAAAACAAUUCAAACUUUGUACUAGUCUAUAUCUUGUAGAAUUCAAGCUGUAAUUACUA